UAAGCGUCGGUAAGGUGAUAUGAACCGUUAUAACCGGCGAUUUCCGAAUGGGGAAACCCAGUGUGAUUCGUCACACUAUCAUUAACUGAAUCCAUAGGUUAAUGAGGCGAACCGGGGGAACUGAAACAUCUAAGUACCCCGAGGAAAAGAAAUCAACCGAGAUUCCCCCAGUAGCGGCGAGCGAACGGGGAGGAGCCCAGAGCCUGAAUCAGUGUGUGUGUUAGUGGAAGCGUCUGGAAAGGCGCGCGAUACAGGGUGACAGCCCCGUACACAAAAAUGCACAUGCUGUGAGCUCGAUGAGUAGGGCGGGACACGUGGUAUCCUGUCUGAAUAUGGGGGGACCAUCCUCCAAGGCUAAAUACUCCUGACUGACCGAUAGUGAACCAGUACCGUGAGGGAAAGGCGAAAAGAACCCCGGCGAGGGGAGUGAAAAAGAACCUGAAACCGUGUACGUACAAGCAGUGGGAGCCUCUUUAUGGGGUGACUGCGUACCUUUUGUAUAAUGGGUCAGCGACUUAUAUUCUGUAGCAAGGUUAACCGAAUAGGGGAGCCGAAGGGAAACCGAGUCUUAACUGGGCGUUAAGUUGCAGGGUAUAGACCCGAAACCCGGUGAUCUAGCCAUGGGCAGGUUGAAGGUUGGGUAACACUAACUGGAGGACCGAACCGACUAAUGUUGAAAAAUUAGCGGAUGACUUGUGGCUGGGGGUGAAAGGCCAAUCAAACCGGGAGAUAGCUGGUUCUCCCCGAAAGCU
rnacentral:rRNA from 1 species